AUUGAACGCUGGCGGAAUGCUUUACACAUGCAAGUCGAACGGCAGCACGGACUUCGGUCUGGUGGCGAGUGGCGAACGGGUGAGUAAUGUAUCGGAACGUGCCCAGUCGUGGGGGAUAACGUAGUGAAAAUUACGCUAAUACCGCAUACGAUCUAUGGAUGAAAGCGGGGGAUCGCAAGACCUCGCGCGAUUGGAGCGGCCGAUAUCAGAUUAGGUAGUUGGUGGGGUAAAGGCCCACCAAGCCAACGAUCUGUAGCUGGUCUGAGAGGACGACCAGCCACACUGGAACUGAGACACGGUCCAGACUCCUACGGGAGGCAGCAGUGGGGAAUUUUGGACAAUGGGCGAAAGCCUGAUCCAGCCAUUCCGCGUGCAGGAUGAUGGCCCUCGGGUUGUAAACUGCUUUUGUACAGAACGAAAAGGUUUCUACUAAUACUAGGAGCUCAUGACGGUACUGUAAGAAUAAGCACCGGCCAACUACGUGCCAGCCGCCGCAGUAA
rnacentral:rRNA from 1 species